rnacentral:lncRNA from 1 species
GGAUAAAGUUCUGUAGGGGCAUCACCGUGGGAACUAUAGGUUGCACCACUGGAGAGGAUGCAGGGGCAGUCUAAGCAAGCUGCAGCCCCGUCUGAAGAGGCGUAAGAAAAGUUUGGACCAUCUGGAUUGCAGUCGUCAGAUUUUAGACUUGUUGGAAAAGUUGGUUGAACUGGUCAACUGGGACCGACGCUGGCUGGGCUAGUUAGGCUGGUGGUGGAACCUCCGACGUCGUUUGCUGCACUUGAUUAUUGGCCUGGCGUACCACCUAGUGGGAGGCAGUGGUAUUGGAGAGUCGGAAAGAUAUUUGUCUAGGAGCCAUGAUGUGAAUGCGGGCUCUUCCUCUAUCUAUUGCUGUUAGAAAUCAAUCGAGGUCAGAGGGAGGACAAUUGAGCCUCAUGCAGGGUUGCUGGUGCUGGAGUUAACCUGCAAAAUAAGUCCAAAUUAGAGAUUGUAGCUCUUAUGAGGAUUUUCUGAUGCUCAAGUCAAGUUCAGAGAACAAUGAAACAGCAACAAGCUCUCUGAGAAGGAUUGAUUGGCUUGCCUGAUCCUCGGAACUCCGGUGGUUUAUAUAGAAGGCUGUCGAACAACUGGUUGCACAGCUGUGAGAUUGUGCGAUCUCGAGAUUGUAGGAUCAUUGAACAUGCCAUUGUGGGUGAAAUAAUCCAGCCUUCAAUUGCUCC